AUGCGUUUCAACUUUAGAUUUUAAUCUUACGUUUUUUAUUUCAUUAAUCUUUUCUUAAUUAACAUCUAAAACAUCUAUGACAAAAACUGACAUUUCUUUUCUUGUAUUUUUGUUCUUUAUGAGGAUACUUAGUUUCCCAAAAUGUGUUUUGGUUGGAUUUGUGAGCCUUUGCAUCUUUUAGAUUCUCCCAAUCCAAAAUGGAGAUCGAUCUAUGUAUACAAUGCUAUGCAUCAUUCCUUCCCAUCAAGGCUAUAGGAUCUAGUGGUUUUGAUUUUAUUAGUACCUCUCAAACAGUAAUAUUAGUAGAAAUACUUCCAAAAAUGUUCAGCAAUGUCUAGAAGAAUAUCCCCAUCUGCAGUUAAUCAUCGCAAUGUAAGGGAGUUUAACUGAAUAUCGCAACUUUCUGAUGGCUCACUGAGAUGCUGCAUACUUGGUGGAAGUUUCAGAUACAGGUCGAAUAUCGUUCUCCCAUCCACCUAUUGAUGACCUGGCUACAAUUUUGUCCCUUCCAACGAAGACCAUUCUAUGAACGGAUUCAGCCAAACUUCCAUCCAAUACAACAGCUUGGAUUAGAGAAGCCAGACCUGGUACCUCUCAUCCCUUCGAUCUUCAAGUAUUUGAAGGGGUAUACAAGUUGAAGUAAAGGUUUUCUCCGCAAUUGAGGGUCCGUGGUCCAUUCAUGGAUGGGGCUCACUUGACUCUAUGGUCAAAUGAUCAAGAUCACCACAGUGCUACCCUACCGUUGUGGGUGAUUCUACAGAAGAUGGAGAAUCUGAGCUACCUGAUUUCAGCUGCAUAGUCAGACUAUGAAGACCACCAUCUGCUGGCACCUACGUUUGUGGUUGAUUGUACAAAAAACAUGCGGAUAGUAGAAUCCAAGCUAUUUGUAGCUCUAUCCUUGGGUUGAGUUAGAAGGCCAAUGUAUAAUGAAUAUUUGAGUGUUGGAAGAAAGGUUGUAUUUAUUUUAGAAUGCAUGUAAAAUGGAUCAGUAGCCUAACUGCUAUGCUGUUUUUACUGUGCUAUAUUGUAAGGAAUUAAUCAGCCAUUGUUUUUAC